rnacentral:rRNA from 1 species
UACGUAGGGGGCUAGCGUUGUCCGGAAUCAUUGGGCGUAAAGCGCGUGUAGGCGGCCCGGUAAGUCCGCUGUGAAAGUCGGGGGCUCAACCCUCGGAUGCCGGUGGAUACUGUCGGGCUCGAGUGCGGAAGAGGCGAGUGGAAUUCCUGGUGUAGCGGUGAAAUGCGCAGAUAUCAGGAGGAACACCAAUUGCGAAGGCAGCUCGCUGGGACGUUACUGACGCUGAGGCGCGAAGGCGUGGGGAGCGAACGGG